UAACACCUGGAAACAGAUGCUAAUACCGGAUAACAACAGAUGAUGCCUAUCAACUGUUUAAAAGAUGGUUCUGCUAUCACUCUUGGAUGGACCUGCGGUGCAUUAGCUAGUUGGUAGGGUAACGGCCUACCAAGGCGAUGAUGCAUAGCCGAGUUGAGAGACUGAUCGGCCACAUUGGGACUGAGACACGGCCCAAACUCCUACGGGAGGCAGCAGCC
rnacentral:rRNA from 1 species